CCCAUCACUGUGUGCCCUGGGUCUAGAACUGUAUUCUUGACACAUCCUUGUAGGACUAAGUCCCUGCAUGUUGCUGGGACUCAACAAACUGACACCCAAUUGCUUUUCAACCACCAAGACUCUCUGAUAGCUGCAUCUCUUCAUUUCCUCAGUUGGGAGGAGGGUCCAGAGGCUGAGGAAUGCCUUGUCAUUGGAAUCUCUUUGUCCCUGAGUUUCAGAAGCAAAUAGUGAAGCUUUGGGCAGAAGAGGAUUCAUGGGAAAAUAUAUCCAAAUCACUUUGGUUCCUUCCUUUGGAUAGAAGGAAUUUGGAUCAUGAGGGCCCCUGGGUGUCCUCGAGUGGCCACUUUGGAAGGCUGGGUGGGUGGUGGCUGUGGCAUUGUGGAUGAUGGAUAAGCGUGUGGCCUUGGUGAGGAGUGAUGGGGCUCUCGGUGUUUGCAGAGGAAGCUGCCUGAACAGGACAUCGCACAAGGAUCCUACAUUGCCCUGCCAUUGACGCUGCUGGUUCUGCUGGCCGGUUACAACCAUGACAAGCUCAUUCCUUUGCUGCUGCAGUUGACAAGCCGGCUACAGGGAGUCCGCGCGCUCGGCCAGGCAGCCUCUGACAAUAGCGGCCCAGAAGAUGCAAAGAGACAAGCCAAGAA
rnacentral:sRNA from 1 species